AGGAAGAAGGCUGGUAUUGACUCAAGCAAUUUGCCUCAGCAGAAGAUUUGGCUGGAGAGCCCCACUCUGAAUUCCCUGCCAACUGUCAGAGCCUGCAGUGUUUUCUUUUGUAAUCAAAUGCUCUGGUUUUCUUAUUUCAUGUGAACUGUUGAUGGUCAUGUGCCCGCCCUGCCACACACACCCCUCAGACCUGAUGAGCCGGGCAGAGUAUCCCAGAGAUGCAAAGGAGGUUUCCUGUUAGCACAUUGCAGAACCUUCAAAACUCUGUUUCAGGAAAUGUUCUCCCCACCAAAGUUAUCUGGGAUUGUUCUCCCUGUCAAGGUUAGUGACUUCAUGAUAAUUAGAAGCAGCACAAGACCAGGAGUCAAGGGUGUGUCUCAGCAAAAUGGUGAAGAGGCCUCUCAGGAAUGAUGAUACAAAGGCCCAGAAUCUCUACUCUCAAUAUUAUGAAAAUAAACAAAAAUGAGAGAAAAAUUUAAAAUUAAUAAAUACAUAAUAAUUAAACUGG